CAAGUUCUCGUUAUCCAUCGAUCCAUGAAACUAUCUUGAAAUGUUGCUUCCCGCCACACACUUCCACACUUUCACUUCUUCUUAUUCUCCAUUCUUAUUCUUCCCCAAAUCAAAAACCCUAACCCUAACACACUCCUCUAAAUUCAUUUUCCGAAUCUCCGCUUCCAAAUCCCGAACUCUCCCCGAAUCCGCCAUUCAACGAAUCGCCGACAAACUCCAAUCCCUCGGCAUCACAACUGAACAAUCCACCACCACCAAAAACACCAUCUCCACCACCAUCGCAGGUGAAAUAUUCGUUCCGUUACCACACAAUCUCCCGAAGUACCGUGUUGGACACACACUCGACCCCAGUUGGAGCACGCCGGAGAAUCCUGUCCCUUUUCCUGGAGCGGGAAUCGAGAAAUUGAGCGAGAAUGAAGUGGAGAGACAGCGAUUGGAGAGGGCGAAAGCGAGGGAGGAGAAGAAGAGGAGAGUUCCGACGCUUGCGGAGUUGAGUCUGACGGAUGGGGAGAUUAUGAGGUUGACGAAGUUAGGGUUUGAGAUGAAACAGAAGAUUAAGGUUGGGAAAGCUGGGAUUACGGAAGGGAUUGUUAAUGGAAUUCAUGAACGGUGGAGGCGUUCUGAGGUUGUCAGGAUUGUUUGUGAGGAUCUUUGCAGAAUUAACAUGAAAAGAACUCAUGACAUAUUGGAGAGAAAAACUGGAGGACUUGUGGUUUGGAGAUCUGGAAGUAAGAUAAUAUUGUACAGAGGGAUUGAUUAUAAGUAUCCUUACUUCCUAUCAGAUAAAGUUUUGAGAGACGACAAAAUAGAUGAUGCUUUGCAACAUAUGGAUGGUGAUGAUAAAAAUUGUGAUGAAAGAGAGAGCUAUUCAUCUGAAAUGAAUUCAACCACACAUGCUAGUCAUAGUUCAAACAUCAGAACUGUAAAACCAGCUCUGGUACAAGGAGUUGGUACUCCUAAUAAAGUGAGAUUUCAAUUGCCAGGUGAGGCAGAGCUUUUAGAAGAAGUAGACAGCUUAUUAGAGGGCCUCGGGCCUCGAUUUACUGAUUGGUGGGGGUAUGACCCUGUGCCUGUCGAUGCUGAUCUUCUACCUGCUGUUAUUCCUGGAUUUAGGCAGCCUUUUCGCCUACUUCCAUAUGGUGUGAAGUCUAAUCUAACGGAUGAUGAAUUGACCACAUUGAAGAGACUUGGCAGACCUUUACCAUGCCAUUUUGCAUUAGGUAGAAAUAGGAAACUUCAAGGAUUGGCUGCUGCAAUUAUCAAGCUCUGGGAAAGAUGUGAGAUUGCCAAGAUUGCAGUAAAAAGAGGUGUACAGAAUACUAGCAAUAAGAUAAUGGCUGAAGAGAUUAAGCAUUUGACUGGAGGAACUCUCCUUUCUCGGGAUAAAGACGUUAUUGUCAUUUAUAGAGGAAAGGACUUCUUGCCUGCUGCAGCGUCUUCAGCAAUUCAACAGAGGAGGAAUGUUUUAAUAAAUAAAGUGAAGGCUGAAAACAGCUCAUCAGUUACAGUCUCUCCACAUUCUGAAGCAAAGGAUAUGGCCUUCCUUAAAGAUACAGAAAUCAUUGAAAAACGAAUAAUGACGAAGGCUAAGGCAGCUAUUAAAAGGACUAGUAUCAAAUUGUCACAGGCAUUAGAGAAGAAAGCAAAGGCCGAAAAACUUCUAGCAAUUCUGGAAAAGGUAGAGAGUCCUCAAGAACAAGAAAUAGAUAAAGAGGGUAUUACUGAAGAAGAGAGAUACAUGUUGCGGAGGAUUGGCUUGAAGAUGAAGCCUUUCCUGUUGCUAGGAAGACGAGGGGUUUUUGAUGGAACAGUAGAAAAUAUGCAUCUUCAUUGGAAAUAUCGGGAACUUGUGAAGAUAAUAUGUAAUCAAGGAAGCCUGGAAUCUGUCCACCAGACAGCUCUGACCUUAGAGGCAGAAAGUGGUGGAAUAUUAGUAGCCGUCGAGAGAGUGAGCAAGGGCCAUGCAAUCAUUGUCUAUCGUGGAAAGAAUUAUAGUAGGCCUUCUUGUUUGAGGCCGCGGACACUUCUAAAUAAAAAGCAAGCAUUGAAGCGUUCUAUAGAGGCACAGCGUCGUGAGGCAUUGAAGCUCCAUGUUUUGAAGUUAGAUAAGAACAUAAAUGAGUUGAAACUUCAAAUGGUUAAAGAUGAGGCCAGCAGUAAGCAGAUAGCUGAAACAUUAAGAUCUGAUUUGGCUAUAGACAAACAUGGAGGUAGUUCAAAUUCCAUAAAUUGCAAUUCUCCAAAAGAAGCUUCUGUUCACAAUCAACAAGCUAUAGAGGAGCAGCACAUUGAGCUGAUUGAUGGAGUUAGUUCAAAUUCCCUAAAUUGCAAUUCUUCAAAAGAAGCUUCUGUUGACAAUCAACAACAAGCUAUAGAGGAGCAGCACAUUGAACUGAUUGAUGGAGCUAGUUCAAAUCUCAUAAGUUCUCCAGAAGAAGCUUCUGUUGGCAAUCAACGAGCUAUACAGGAGCAGUACAUUGAACUGAUUGAUACGGGUGGAGCACGUCAAGGUGAACCAGAAUCCUCUGCUGGUUUGGUUCACCAAGAAAGACAGUUGGACGAAGAGAGUGAUUCUGUGGUUGAUACUGGGCACUGUGUCUCUAAUAACAAAGCAAUGGAAGCAUCAGUCGCAUCAUUAAAAAGUGAUCCUGAACCAUCAGCUCCAGUGAUAAAUAAGAGUUCAAUUGAGUUGCCUUCUAGAUCUUUAUAUCUUUCCAACAGAGAGAGGCUUCUUCUUCGAAGGCAGGCCUUAAAUAUGAAAAAGCGACCUCUCCUUGCCAUAGUGUGCAUUGGUUCCUUUUUUAUUUUGUGGGUUUCUGCAUUAACUGCAUAGGUCUAAGCCUGUUCUAUUAGCAGAGUAAAGAUAGCUAACUAAGACUCUAGGUUCAGAUCAUUAUAAUACAAAAAAGCUGGCCAAAACAUUUUUUCCUCACCUGUUGUGACUUGAAAGAGUAAUACUGUGACUGGUCUUGCGAAAGCAAUCAAGGAUCACUUCCGGAAGCACCCUUUUGUCAUAGUUAAUGUCAAAGGAAGGGCAAAAGGGACUUCAGUUCAUGAGUUGGUGUCCAAGCUAGAGCACGCAACAGGUGCAGUUCUAGUCUCUCAGGAGCCUAGCAAAAUCAUACUUUACAGGGGUUGGGGUGCAGGAACGAAGCCUGGCACUUAUUUAAAUGAUAGUAAAUUAGGUAAAGACGGAGGAGCAAAGCCCACUGUGUCUCCUGAACUGUUGGAAGCUAUCAGAAUUGAAUGUGGAUUGCAGUAACACACAAACAGAACAUCGCGACUCUUUACUGAUCAAGUUGUAUCUACAAACAAAUUGCCAUAACUUUUUCUUCAACACUUGCUUGUAGCGGCGGCUGUGUUUGCAGUAUGCUUUAUAGAAAAAUGGAGCUUAUGAAGUCAUUAUGAGGCGAAUUACUGAUAUUGAAAAUUUCGAGCGUGUCAUAGAUGUCUGAAGGUAGAUUCAAGGAAGACACGAAAGAGGAACUUGAAAAAGAAAACUACUGUGACCAGUAAGAAAUAGACAAAAGGGGAGAGCCUUGAUCUAGAAGCCAUUCUUGUGUCCUUAAGAACCUCCUAGUGUCUGUUUCUAUGUCGUACAUUUUCUUCCUUUGUGACUGAACUUAGUUGUCUCAUGUAUAUACCUCCCAAUUUCUCCCUUUAUUCCCCUACCAACCUCCUGGUUUAUUUAUAAUGCCUAAGGGAGUCAUUCUCAAACCAAUUGUAUGGUUGGUUUCAUUUUAAAUGCAAAAUUUAUAUCUAAAAUUGAUUUUGACA